UAAUACGUAGGGUGCAAGCGUUAAUCGGAAUUACUGGGCGUAAAGCGUGCGCAGGCGGUUGUGCAAGACCGAUGUGAAAUCCCCGGGCUUAACCUGGGAACUGCAUUGGUGACUGCACGGCUAGAGUGUGUCAGAGGGGGGUAGAAUUCCACGUGUAGCAGUGAAAUGCGUAGAUAUGUGGAGGAAUACCGAUGGCGAAGGCAGCCCCCUGGGAUAACACUGACGCUCAUGCACGAAAGCGUGGGGAGCAAACAGGAUUAGAUACCCUGGUAGUCCACGCCCUAAACGAUGUCAACUAGUUGUCGGGUCUUCAUUGACUUGGUAACGCAGCUAACGCGUGAAGUUGACCGCCUGGGGAGUACGGUCGCAAGAUU
rnacentral:rRNA from 1 species